rnacentral:rRNA from 1 species
GACGAACGCUGGCGGCGUGCUUAACACAUGCAAGUCGAACGAUGAAGCACCAGCUUGCUGGUGUGGAUUAGUGGCGAACGGGUGAGUAACACGUGAGUAACCUGCCCCUCACUCUGGGAUAAGCCUGGGAAACUGGGUCUAAUACUGGAUACGACCGAUCUCCGCAUGGAGUGUUGGUGGAAAGUUUUUGUGGUGGGGGAUGGACUCGCGGCCUAUCAGCUUGUUGGUGGUGUAAUGGCCUACCAAGGCGACGACGGGUAGCCGGCCUGAGAGGGCGACCGGCCACACUGGGACUGAGACACGGCCCAGACUCCUACGGGAGGCAGCAGUGGGGAAUAUUGCACAAUGGGCGAAAGCCUGAUGCAGCGACGCCGCGUGAGGGAUGACGGCCUUCGGGUUGUAAACCUCUUUCACCAGGGACGAAGCUAACGUGACGGUACCUGGAGAAGAAGCACCGGCUAACUACGUG